CUUAAACAAACCUGGUUCUUCAACGGUGUUAACAAGUGUCGAGCAGAUUUCUUGUCGAAGAGUUAGCUGCUAUAGAGAGAUCACGUCAAUCAAUAAAUCAAGUUUGCAACGAUUUGACCGAGGUGAUGCCAUUGGAGGAGGCCCAAUGAGGAAGAUGCCAAUGCCCUGAAAAUGGGCUAUAGCAGCAGGAUGCCGCCUCACUCGAAAGUAUCACUUCGGGCGAGGUGUCAAAGGGGUUCGCCCAACUACCCAAUUGCCUUGGAGGGCACAUUUAAAAAGACGAGGCAAAGCAAAGUACAGACCUUGAGUGGCCUCUUGCUUUGCUUUUGCUUAGCUGAAAACCUCGAAGGCUGAGGCGUAACAAAAACUAUGGAAUCAUGAAUCCUAGAGCCAAGCAUCCUCGAGUUGAAUAGCAAUAUAUUCCAGUCUUUAUCCCCAUCUUCUUGAGGAUCCAACGCAAUGGUGAAUCAAUUAUGAUUUCACUUUUCAUUACUCGGCAAAUCCUCUAAAUAAGGAGGCAUCAGUUUUUCAAUACUUGAAUGCAAUUUCUUUGAUAUUUUCUCUCAUCUUCAAGUUCAAGUCCACCAGUAAGGGACAGUAGCCUGAUUUCUGAAUCAGCCCUUUCUACGGCCAGUUGAGGCGAAGUGCGAAUUUGAACCUAAUUUGUAAUGGGCAGGACAAAGCUAAAAUGUGCCUGUAAGUUUCGUUUGAGCAUUUCGAGCUUUG
rnacentral:lncRNA from 1 species